rnacentral:rRNA from 1 species
AGGGGUGAAAGGCCAAUCAAACUUCGUGAUAGCUGGUUCUCCCCGAAAUGCAUUUAGGUGCAGCGUCACGUGUUUCUUGCCGGAGGUAGAGCACUGGAUGGCUAAUGGGCCCUACAAGGUUACUGACGUCAGCCAAACUCCGAAUGCCGGUAAGUGAGAGCGUGGCAGUGAGACUGCGGGCGAUAAGGUUCGUAGUCGAGAGGGAAACAGCCCAGACCACCGGUUAAGGCCCCUAAGCGUGUGCUAAGUGGGAAAGGAUGUGGAGUUGCUGUGACAACCAGGAGGUUGGCUUAGAAGCAGCCACCCUUGAAAGAGUGCGUAAUAGCUCACUGGUCAAGU